GCCGUCUAGUCAGAAUGCAGGCUAUUGCCGUCUCCACUCCACCCUCGUGUGGCGAUAUCGCUGGCAAAAGCUGAGGGAGAGGGUGCCUCGGAUGCUGAGAAGGAGAGAUGUCUUUCUCGCCAUGUGAGAUUUCUUAAACCUCCCAGCAGCAACUGUGACGCCCAAGUCUGACCCCUCGAUAUGUGCAUAUUAUAUGGGUAACAAAUCGUCCUUUAAAAAAAAAAAAAGAUAAUGCAAAAGCCUGGUUCAAUUUGUGACACAGCGAGCGGGUGACAGCCGUAUUUUGGUCUCGGUAAUCUCACGAUGCCAGUGG